UCCCUCCUGACCACCCCUGGCCAUUCUGGGGUUCUCGCCUGGGCAGGAGUUUCCGCGCGCCGGGCACCCCCGCCCACCCCCGGGCCAUUUACCGAUGUGGUUGUCUUCGAUGUGCUCGAUGAGGUCGGCCAGGGUGGGGAAGUGGAGUCCGCAGCCCCCGAAUCGGCAGGGCCUCUCACUGUUGCAGCCUCUCCCGUUUUGGAGCACAGGCUCCGGACGCGCAGGCUCAGCGGCCAUGGCUCACGGGCCCAGCCGCUCUGUGGCAUGUGGGAUCUUCCCGGACCGGGGCACGAACCCAUGUCCCCUUCAUCAGCAGGUGGACUCUCAACGACUGCACCACCAGGGAAGCCCUACCUACAGCUUUGAGAUCAAGAAAAUACGACUAUGCUAAAAAAUAAUAUUUUGCAUUUUUGAGGAGGAUUUUCAAAAAUCUUCAUUUGAUAUUCUUUUGGCCAAAGAAGAAUACUUAUGUUAGCAUGGAGAAAAGACUUAACGCUUGUGGUCUGGUUUUCUUUUAUAUUUUGAAUUUAAUGGAGACUUCAGUCAUAUUCUGUUGGCAUAUGCUAUGCUCUGGAUAUCUAUUCAAAUUGCUAAAGACCUGGAUGAAAAUAACUUCUUUGUAAAUCCCUUAUAUUAUACACAUGCCUAACUGCCAUACCGAUAUUCCCCUAGAAUCCAUCACAGUUCUGAAAGCAUUAAGAGAUUUGCAAACUUAAAUAAAGAAGACACACUUAAAUAAGGAUGAACUUAAAAAAAUUAAGAUCCCUAACU